rnacentral:rRNA from 1 species
CAGCAGCCGCGGGAAUACGUAGGGUCCGAGCGUUGUCCGGAAUUACUGGGCGUAAAGAGCUCGUAGGUGGUUUGUCGCGUUGUUCGUGAAAACUCACAGCUCAACUGUGGGCGUGCGGGCGAUACGGGCAGACUAGAGUACUGCAGGGGAGACUGGAAUUCCUGGUGUAGCGGUGGAAUGCGCAGAUAUCAGGAGGAACACCGGUGGCGAAGGCGGGUCUCUGGGCAGUAACUGACGCUGAGGAGCGAAAGCGUGGGGAGCGAACAGGAUUAGAGACCCCGGUAGUCCCUGUCUCUUAUAC